rnacentral:misc_RNA from 1 species
GAUGAAGAACGUAGCGAAAUGCGAUAAGUAAUGUGAAUUGCAGAAUUCAGUGAAUCAUCGAAUCUUUGAACGCACCUUGCGCCCUUUGGCCAUUCCGAAGGGCAUGCCUGUUUGAGUAUCAUGAACACCCCAACUCUCAUGAUGAGCUUGGAUUUGGGGGUCUUGCUGGCCUGUGGUCGGCUCCUCUCAAAUGGAUCAGCUUGCCAGUGUUUGGUGGCAUCACAGGUGUGAUAACUAUCUGCGCUUGUGGUUUUCCAUCAGAUAACCUUCAGUGAUGGAGGUUCGCUGGAGCUCAUAAACGUCUCCCCUAAGCGGGGACAGCCCUUUGAAUGUUUGAUCUCAAAUCAGGUAGGACUACCCGCUGAACUUAAGCAUAUCAAUAAGCGGAGGA